ensembl:lncRNA PMS2P4 PMS1 homolog 2, mismatch repair system component pseudogene 4
AAUGGGAGCCCAGGAGGCGGGGCGCCUGUGGGAGUCGUGGAGGGAACUUUCCCAGGCCCCGAGGCGGAUCGGGUAUUGAGUCCAUGGAGCGAGCUGAGAGCUAGAGUACAGAACCUGCUAAGGCCAUCAAACCUAUCGAUCGGAAGUCAGUCCAUCAGAUUUGCUCUGGGCCGGUGGUACUGAGUCUAAGCACUGCGGUGAAGGAGUUAGUAGAAAACAGUCUGGAUGCUGGUGCCACCAAUAUUGAUCUAAAGCUUAAGGACUAUGGAGUGGAUCUCAUUGAAGUUUCAGACAAUGGAUGUGGGGUAGAAGAAGAAAACUUUGAAGGCUUAACGAUGUCACCAUUUCUACCUGCCACGCAUCGGCGAAGGUUGGGACUCGACUGGUGUUUGAUCACGAUGGGAAAAUCAUCCAGAAAACCCCCUACCCCCACCCCAGAGGGACCACAGUCAGCGUGAAGCAGUUAUUUUCUACACUACCUGUGCACCAUAAGGAAUUUCAAAGGAAUAUUAAGAAGGAUGGCCGUAUAAGAAAAUAAACAACUUGCUAAAACUGCUGAAACUCCCUCUGCUUGUGAGAUUUAAAAAAACUGGCUGAAAUUGGUUGGAACCAACAUGUCCAAUGGAGUCUGAAUAGAAAGAGCUUGCUGACAUCACAGCCCGAAUUUCCACCACAUUUCAUACUAACUCCCCCUGAAUUUGCAUAUGCAAACCACAAGCAAGCAUGAUCAAACAGACAACUGCGCGUGUCCGAGGACUUUCCAGAUCUCCCCUUUCCUUCCACCAAUCACUUACUAAUCUGAGAAUCCAUCCCCUAAUAAAAUCACUGCCUUAAAGCCUGCACAGGAAGACAAAUUUGA